rnacentral:misc_RNA from 1 species
GAAAUGCGAUAAGUAAUGUGAAUUGCAGAAUUCAGUGAAUCAUCGAAUCUUUGAACGCACAUUGCGCCCGCCAGUAUUCUGGCGGGCAUGCCUGUUCGAGCGUCAUUACAACCCUCAGGCCCCCGGGCCUGGCGUUGGGGAUCGGCGGAAGCCCCCUGCGGGCACAACGCCGUCCCCCAAAUACAGUGGCGGUCCCGCCGCAGCUUCCAUUGCGUAGUAGAUAACACCUCGCAACUGGAGAGCGGCGCGGCCACGCCGUAAAACACCCAACUUCUGAAUGUUGACCUCGAAUCAGGUAGGAAUACCCGCUGAACUUAAGC